UACGUAGGUGGCAAGCGUUAUCCGGAAUUACUGGGUGUAAAGGGAGCGUAGACGGUAAUGUAAGUCUGGAGUGAAAGGCGGGGGCCCAACCCCCGGACUGCUCUGGAAACUAUGUUACUAGAGUGCAGGAGAGGUAAGCGGAAUUCCUAGUGUAGCGGUGAAAUGCGUAGAUAUCACACAGAACACCGAUUGCGAAGGCAUCUCACGAAUCCGCGAUUGACGCUGAUGCACGAAAGCGUGGGUAUCAAACAGG
rnacentral:rRNA from 1 species